UGGCAGGGACAGACCUGGUCAUAGAGC
rnacentral:piRNA from 1 species